GUCAUGCUGCGUUCGCUCACUACUGUAUUUGCUGUAGACGAAAAACCAUUGUCGGCAUUUAGAACAAAUGGAAUAGCCGUGCUGCAUUCAGUGGCUACGAGAGACACUGGAGACGCGAGCCACUGUACAUUCGUCAGCACUAGCCGUGUUGCGUUCACCGACUACGGGAAGUGUCGGGGAGGCAAACUUUGGCCGACAUUUGAAGGGCACGUAAAAUGGACAGCCUGUGUUGCCUUCACUGACUUCCAAGAAAUACUGGAAACACAAACUUAAAUAGACCUUUAGUACAAUGGACACACCGUGCUGCGUUCAUAGACUACAGGACAUGUAGCGGCACAAGUACAACCAUGCUGAGUUCACUGACUGUUAGAAAAUUAGACAACUUUUAAUCAACGCUUCUUGGACAAGAAUAACAGACCAGGGGUGGUGAGUUCACUGACAUUUGCAAAUCACCUUGUCAUCAGAAGCAAGUGCAAUGGAAGAGGUGUGCUGCGUUCACAGACCAUGGCAAUGUUGGAAAAUGACAGUGCCAGGGUCAGUGUAUAAAAGAAGGGUCGUGCUGCGUUCACUGACUAUGGGAAAGAGAUGAUGGGGGUGGCCAUAGGGCGUGUGAAAUGAACGGCAGAGUCCACGGGAGGGCGCCAUCAUCAUCAUCAACGAACUGAGCAGAACAUUCAUGGGCGAACAUUCCCUGAUCCCAGUGCGUGAAAAUGCAAGUAAACGUCUCAUAAAAAUA